rnacentral:rRNA from 1 species
UGCAAGUCGAACGAUGAAGCCCAGCUUGCUGGGUGGAUUAGUGGCGAACGGGUGAGUAACACGUGAGUAACCUGCCCUUGACUCUGGGAUAAGCGCUGGAAACGGCGUCUAAUACCGGAUACGAGCUUCCACCGCAUGGUGAGUUGCUGGAAAGAAUUUCGGUCAAGGAUGGACUCGCGGCCUAUCAGGUAGUUGGUGAGGUAACGGCUCACCAAGCCGACGACGGGUAGCCGGCCUGAGAGGGUGACCGGCCACACUGGGACUGAGACACGGCCCAGACUCCUACGGGAGGCAGCAGUGGGGAAUAUUGCACAAUGGGCGCAAGCCUGAUGCAGCAACGCCGCGUGAGGGACGAAGGCCUUCGGGUCGUAAACCUCUUUUAGCAGGGAAGAAGCGAAAGUGACGGUACCUGCAGAAAAAGCACCGGCUAACUACGUGCCAGCAGCCGCGGUAAUACGUAGGGUGCGAGCGUUAUCCGGAAUUAUUGGGCGUAAAGAGCUCGUAGGCGGUUUGUCGCGUCUGGUGUGAAA